UACGAAGGGGGCUAGCGUUGCUCGGAAUGACUGGGCGUAAAGGGCGCGUAGGCGGUUUGGACAGUUAGGCGUGAAAUUCCUGGGCUCAACCUGGGGACUGCGCUUAAUACAUCCAGACUUGAGUGCGGAAGAGGGUUGUGGAAUUCCCAGUGUAGAGGUGAAAUUCGUAGAUAUUGGGAAGAACACCGGUGGCGAAGGCGGCAACCUGGUCCGUGACUGACGCUGAGGCGCGAAAGCGUGGGGAGCAAACAGG
rnacentral:rRNA from 1 species